rnacentral:rRNA from 1 species
AUUGAACGCUGGCGGCAGGCCUAACACAUGCAAGUCGAGCGAGCGGCGGACGGGUGAGUAAUGUCUGGGAAACUGCCUGAUGGAGGGGGAUAACUACUGGAAACGGUAGCUAAUACCGCAUACCAUCAGAUGUGCCCAGAUGGGAUUAGCUAGUAGGUGGGGUAACGGCUCACCUAGGCGACGAUCCCUUGCUGGUCUGAGCGGAUGACCAGCCACACUGGAACGGAGCAACGGUCCAGACUCCUACGGGAGGCAGCAGUGGGGAAUAUUGCAAAAUGGGCGCAAGCCUGCGGCAGCCAUGCCGCGUGUGUUAAGAAGGCCUUCGGGUUGUAAAGCACUUUCAGCGGGGAGGCGUUACCCGCAGAAGAAGCACCGGGUAACUCCGUGGCAGCAGCCGCGGUAAUAC